ensembl:lncRNA
AUGCUAUUAAAUUUUUAUUUAUAUUUUUAGUCACAAUCCAUUUUAUUGCAUUUUAUUUUGUAUAAGUUCUAUUUCAAAUCCUUUAAGUCAGCUUAUACUAAAAAUUAGUUCUAUAGUCAAAAAUGCCUUUUUUGUGUAAUAUUUAAUUUCUGCUAGACAUCAUGAUGCUUAAAGCCAUAUGAGGUGGAAAUCAUUUCCAAAGUAUGUUUAUUCCAUUGCAUUAGUCUGGCUAUAUGCAAUACAAAAAAAAAAAAAAAAAAUUUAAAUUAAAAGCCUAUAUUUGUAGGUCUUCUAUAGAAUUGCUUAUUAAUAGUUUGUUCUUAGAGCAAGAGUUUUUUAGUUGGGAUUAAUUUAUUUUCCUCCUAUAUAUGUAUUUUUUUCUUAUAUUUCCAAAUCUAUUGCUGAGAAUGUGUCAAGAUCAAUGAUGAAUAUUUACAGCUUGCAGGAACCUGCAUUCAACCUCCCAACCCCACGAGAAAAAUGCUUAAGAAUUAAAAUUCUUAAAGUAGCUCACUGGGUUACUUCUAGCAGUAGCAUAAUGCUACUCAUGUGGAUAUUACCUCAUUUUAAGCAAAGUAUAACAUGUAAAACCAUCAUUCCUGACAUUCUGUUGGCUAGAAAGUCACAGUUUCAAAAAAAAAAAAAAUUGUUUCUCUUUGCUUUUGCACAAUCUAUUCUUUUAUGGCCUCUUAUCGCAAGGUAUAAUGUUUUACCAGAGAUUGAAGGAAGAGCCAAAAUAUCUCAGUUGGGAGAGCAUUAACUGGAGGAAGGAGAUUGAAGGGCAUUGUCAUGGAAAUUAACAUGAUGUUUUAAAUUGCUCUUAGGAAAUGUAGUUUUAAGCAAUAAUAUUUUCUUUUUAAAAAGUGAUUAUUUAUAUCUCUACAAAAAUAUGAUAGGAGUAUAAUUUCAAAACCUAGUCUUUGAGGAAAAUAUGUGGGGGGAUGUUGGGAUUCUUCUUACCCUAAAAUAGCAUGCGAAUGUUUUGGUUAAAAUGUCAAAAAAUAGUCACUGCUGUGUUUGUGAUUUAUUGAGAAUUGAAAUCCAUUUAGAAUGUAAAAUUCUCAUAAUCUGAUUCAGUUUAAGAAAACACAUAUGGUUGGAAUAGAGGAUAUUUAAAACAUUUGAUAUUGGUAAGAAAUAUUGAUACUGUUGUUGAUUUCUUACAUAGACAUUUAUUUCAGAAUUGAUAUUUUGAGAAACACCUAUGUGAGGAAUGCUCUUUCCUUUUCUUCCUUUUACCUUUUUUUGUGACUAAUGAUUAUUGUAAUUCUGAUUAAGUUCUUAAUACUGAAAUGUGAAACAAUUAAUCAAAAUAUUAGUGCCACAAUUCUACCUGUUAUAGUAAAUUCUCAGUGAUACUUUAUAUAAAAAAUUCAAGUAUUAAUUAGAAAGACUAUAUUGGCUUCUUUAAGAGAUUGUGAAAGAUUUUUGAUAGUGAAUCAUGACUCUAAGAGAGAGAUUUAUGUGGCAAAAAUAUAGUAUAUGAUAGAUCAGCCGGUUUUUUUUUUUUUUUUUUUUUUAAUAAGGCUAAAACCUGUAAGUUCAUAGAUGUUCCUGUGUUACAAAAUGUCUUGUUGAGCUUGGCAAAGAAUAAGUCAUUCUUGGAAUACUUCUGUAUGACUGUUGCCUAUCUCAGUGUCACUGUGCUUGUGCUCUUGGAUAGCUUGUAUAUGUGAUAGCUUGAUUAAUAAGAAAACAAUAUAAAAUUUGAAAAUUCAAUACAGGAUCCAAAAUGGUAAAUGAAAUGACUUAAUACUCAGUGUUUUGGAGAGUAUCCCUUUAAACUUUUUGGUAUGGUAGGAUAGUUUGAACGGUAAACCUAUGAACAUGUAGCAUGCAUAUAUGUUUCUAUUUCAUUGUAGCUUCUGAUACAUAGUGAAGUUCUUGGAAGAGGUACUGAGUCUUUGAUUUUUGUUGUUAUUCUUCUCAAGUGCAAUAUAACAAUGUAACCAAACCUAGAUAUUUCAGUCAUUAUUAAUUUAGUAAACCUAAUCUAAAUGGAAAUUUAUUAGUAUUUUUGUUAGCAGGAAGGAGUGAUUCUGCAAUAGAUGUACAAGUGAAAUUAUUUACCCUCCAAAGGUCCAUUCUACACUUUAUUUCAGGCUGGACAUGAACAGUUCCCUACUAGUUUUGAAACACUUUGCAAUAUCUUAAAGACACUUCGAAGCUGUGUAUAUCAAUUAAUUUGCUAUCUAAAUAACAUAGAAAGUAACUUUCUUUAUGUAGUUCUCUUGUGAUCACCCACAUUGGGUGAGACAUAAGAUGAGUGUGUUCUAAAAUUUGUCAUUUGCUAACUUGAUUUGAGUUAGUGAAAACUGGUACAGUGUUCUGCUUACUAGUUUCCAAUGUGUAACUGGUGUCUGUUCAAUAAACUUGAGCAUAUGGUGCCA